rnacentral:lncRNA from 1 species
AUUAAAGGCGUGCACCACCAACACCCAGUAAUAACAGAUAAUUUAAUCACUUUCGGAUAUAAGUGCAUGGCCAGGAUUGAAAGAUCCUGCAAUCUAAGAAAGGCCAGUGGGUGGCACCAGAGCACACCCAGUCUUUGCCUGGAGGCGGCUGUUACCAGCAAGACAAAGCACCCUUUUUUACAGGACCCUCUCAAGCAAGAUGGCUUCCACUUACAGGCAUUAAGUGGCCAGUGUAGUCCAGUCAGUCACGUGGAAAGAGGAAAUGUCACCAGAAGAACUAACUACGUUGAUCAGGAAAUGAAGGACAAGAGCCCUGAUAAUUCCGAGUCAAGAGUGAAGGGACCAGCUCCCCAUUUCGGCAGCCAUAACAGCCAAACACGUAUUUGUCUGACCUUGUCUUAGUCACUAAGGUCAGAUGCCUGCCCCUUUUGGCAGCCAUGACAGUAACACAUGCUUUUCUGACCUUGCCUUGGUCACUAGAGGCUAGGUGCCUGCCUCAUGGCAAGGAACCAAUCAGAAGUUAGCUGGUGGCACUAUGCUUUAUGGCUCUGGGUGUGCUUUACCGACAAGUGCACAGCAAUGACGUAGAGCAUAGCAACCACCCUGGGAGGGCCUAUGGGCCAUAACAACCAGUUGACCAAUCAACACAGGGCAAGCCCUCCAAGCCUGGAGGCACACCAAUCGUGAGCCUGUGCGUACCCCUAGACACUCCCCUUACGCUGCCCUACAAGAUCUCUGUGCAGCCCCUUCGAGCUGUCUUUGCUAGCCAUCCACCAUGGCGGGUGGUUGAAAGACCUGAGCUAAUAUGGGGUUAGCUUGUUAAACAACAAUAAAGCCUCAUGCAGUUUGCAG